UGUCCUUCAAUAAAGCAGCUGUCAUCAACAUCUCCACUGUGGGGGGAUCCAUCAGCACAAUGCCUUCUUUAUUCAACCAAUUCCCAGUGUUACCAUAUUGCGUGAGCAAGGCAGGUUUUAACAUGCUGACUGUGUUAGCUGCUGAGGAGUUAAAGGCGGAUGAGAUCCUCUGCAUGGCCCUUCAUCCAGGAUGGGUGAAGACUGAACUGGGUGGAGAAAAAGCACCACUUGAACCUAAAGAAAAGUGUGGAGGGGAUGCUGCGUGUCAUUGGCAGCCUUACUGAGAAGCAGCACGGUGG